GGGGCUUCAUUAUGUUAGAUUUUGCAGCUAAUGAGCUGUAAAAAUGAGUAUAUGAAAAUAUUAGAUGAAACUGAGAACAAAGAGACAUGCUUCCAAAUAACCCAUUUUAGAGCAUCAUAAAUCCACAGACAUGUCUAUUUAGAUGGUCCUUUCAUUCUUCCCCAUAAAAAUUGUCAUCUGGUUUCAACAAUGCCUGUCCAUUACACCAGGGCAAGAGCAAUCAGUCUGAGGAGUACAAUCAGUUUCUGAUUAUGGUUGUGGGCCUUCUGAUGCUUGCCUACUGGACAUUCCUUAUAUACGUACCAGUGUAUAUAAGCCAGUGUGGUGUAGUCGUUAAGAGCGGUAGUCUCAUAAUCUGGGGAACUGGGUUCGAUUCCCUGCUCCUCCACAUGCAGCUGCUGGGUGACCUUGGGCUAGUCACACUUCUUUGAAGUCUCUCAGCCCCACUCACCUCACAGAGUGUUUGUUGUGGGGGAGGAAGGGAAAGGAGAAUGUUAGCCGCUUUGAGACUCCUUAAAGGGAGUGAAAGGCGGGAUAUCAAAUCCAAACUCCUCCUCCUCCUCUUCUUCUUCUUCUUCUUCUUCUUCUUCUUCUUCUUCUUCUUCUUCUUCUUCUUACCAAUGUGGCUGCUGUUGCCUCCACAGUUGCACUCAUGGAGGUUCAAGUGAUUUAUCUCCCUUGCCAUGAUACAUAACAUGUAAGCAAUGUGGCUCCUACGGGCUGAUUUAGUACCAUCAUAUGCCUCCUUGCAGACAUGCUGGCUUUUGUUUCUCAAUGCAAUAGGCUGAUAAGAAAAAUCUGGGAAGGAUCAACCAUAUAUUCCUUCGCAACCCUUUGCAUCUAGUCCAUGGGUUCUAUGUAAUCCAAAGGUUGCAUAAUCUGGCAGGGUGGCAGAUGUCAUGUUCCUGUCAGAAUUUGUUAUCUCUAUCCAGUGCUACCAAUCCCUUGCUCUGAAAACUGAGGUUAGGAAGGACAACAGCUUUAGGAGCAUGAGAAUCGCUAAUCGCAAAAUGCACCUAAAAGUGAAAAUUGAAGGAAGAAAGCAAAGACGCUCAGAACAUAGACUUUUGGUUUUUUUCUAUUUUCCCCAUUUUUGUGUACAUCGGGGGAUAUAGGCCCUAAGCAGAGUUUGGUUAUUUUACAAGUGCACUGCAUCACAAUAGCAGCACAUGCAGUGAGAUUUCUAAAAUACAGAAACAGAAAGGGAGAGAAAAUCUUGACUGAGCAACAUGUAGAUAAUAUCUCCCUGUGCUGCAUUUCAUGGAAUGUAGGAGAUUGGACAUAAGCCUCACGGCGGGAGGCAUUUCAUUCAUGUGUCAUUUUGACAGGGCAGAAUGCAUUGUUUUCAAUAGCCCUGUGAAAUGCUCACCAAUAUAUUUGAUGGUGUGCAUUCUUGGGCCUUAAUUAGAAACCGUGAGUAGCUAUUGUCCAGAAGGACAGUUGAAAGGCCCAUUCACAUUUUUGCUAAAACCACCAUCUGUAUAUCUGUUAAUAAUUAAACAUCCAGUUGGUUCAUCCCAGGUGUCCUUAAAUCUAGCAGUAAUUUCAAUUUGAGCUUUGCACAAAGUGGAUACUAUAGUAAGAUAUUAAAAGACUCAUGCUCUCUAAUCCCAUGAGGACAUGAAUCUUCCUUGUAGUAGUACAGAGGGUAAAACAUUGAGCCUAGCUAAUGAAUCACUGAUUAACAUCCUACACUUCAAUUAGUUAUAACAAACAUCAGCAACCCGUGGCAAGAUUAGAAGUUCUUUAUGUGCCCCAUCUCCCCACCUCCACCCCCUUGUGGGUAGUGGCAAGGAGUUUAUCUCUUAUGGGUGGAGUUCACCAGUCCACAGAGAAACUCAGUUCACACUUUGCAGCAGUAGCUUCAGGGGAACACCAUGUUAAUUUUCAUUAGUUUGUGAAGAAGUCUCCACGUUAGCACAGUCUCUUCCAGGGAGACUAUUGGAAUGGAGAUUUCCUUCAUGAUGGUAUCCGAAACUGCAAGUCUGACUAUAUAAGCACAUCGUUCCUCUACUGGGGACCUAUAGCAGUUUGAUCAAUUGCCACCUGUGGUUCCUGAACAAGCCUUUCCCAACCCUGGGUCCCCAGUUGUUAUAGUACUAUACCUCCCAUAAUCCCCUGCCAGUGUGGCCAAUGUUCAAGGAUUAUGAGGGUUGUAGUCAAACUAUAUCUAGGAACCCUGAGUCAGGGAAUGCUGUUUUGACAGAAAAAGAGGAUAUGCAGCGGAAGUCAUAAAAGUGCAAGUGAUUCAUUAGUCAAAAAGUAUGUAGCCUAUUAUAUGCUUGAAAUUCAAGCUAGGUUAUCAUAGCUGUCUUCUGGUUCUGAAACCUACAGUUCCAUAUCCAUUAACAGCUUUGAACAUAAAGAGCACUCUGUAACUGAGAAGUGUUGCUACUUUAACAGCACUGUGAAAAAAGAGAGGAAAAGCUGUAGUAAAAACUCCUUGAAAAGAAUUCCAUAUGGCACCGUUUUUAGCAGCACAAGAUUAAACAACGUCUGUGGGAUGGAGAGCCAUAAAAAGGAAUAGGCUAAAAAUAUGUUUUUAAACCUUUGCAGCCUCUUUAGGUCUGUGAUUUUUACCAACCUCUUUCUAACCACUUCAUUCUAACUCUUGUGAUAGGAAUUUUAUGGUCUUAGAUAUAUGGUAAUGUUCAUAACUGCACAUAAAUAGAUCAAGACAGGAAGACCAACCUGGAACCAUUUUGAUUCCUAAACUGACCAAAUGUUUUCUCUGCAAGGUCAAACUGGAAAAGUCUCCCCAUUGUCUCUUUCCUCACAAAUCCUGUCUUAAGGACACAUUUAAGAUAUGAAUAGGGUGUGAGCCUGUGACCUGGCCCAGGAAAUAAGUAUUUUACCACUACAAAAGAAUGGCCAGGCUCCCAAGGCAAUCCAAUCAAGUAACUUGCCAGACAGGAAAUAAACAAGCGACAGGAGAAAAGCAAGAUGCAAAUGUUCUGUUUUAGUGAUGUAUCUGAGGGGUGGUCUUAGGUUACACCCCUUCUGUAAUGUAUGCAUGAUGUUUCUUUGGGUGGUCUUGAUCUACAGGAUGGGAAUUUCAAAAGUCUUUAUAAGCUCUUGCACAGCAUUUUUGUGGGUCCUCCUCUUUUCCCGCGUGUGAGGGGAGCACCCUGUUGCAACCGAUCAAUAAAGAUCAAGCUUACUAGCUGCUUUGCUUCUCAAUAUUCUCUGGUUGGCCUUUGUUAUUUUCUCCUACCAAUAGGGAACCUAUGUAGGGACUCUAUAUGGGCUCUUGGAUACCCCAUAAGGGAAAAGGGCAUAUUUUUAUUUACAACACUCUCUAGCUUUUCAUGCUGUUAAAAACACUGUUGCAUUUAUUAUUCCCCCCCUCCUUUUACUUAUAUAAGUAUAUUCUGCAAGGCUUAUAUACAUCCAUGGCAGGAGUGUUCAGAAAUGAGUUUAGAUUUGUAUAGAUCUGUACAUGUUAAUGUAUGUGAAGUAAAUGUUAAUGUGACUACUGCCCCUGCUGGCCGGGGCUGAUGGGAACUGUAGUUCAGGAGUUUCUGGAGGGCCACAGGCUCCUCGCCCCUCGUGUAUUACACUUGAAUAUGGAAGACACCUGCUUAGCUGUAAUGCCUAAUGCCAUACUUCUUACCAGUUUGGUUCUUUAAAAAAACCCUUUAAACUGGUGGCUGUCUUAACAUUUUGUGGGAAUCAAUUUAAUUUCUGGAGUGGUUUCAGGAGGAUCAGAAUUCUGAUUUUAUAUAAGAGCCCUUGGUGGCCUUUAUUUCUUUUUCUACACCUACUCCACCUGGGCCUGGGAUUUUUUUUUGUGGUUUGCUUUCCUUUCACUUAAAAUGUUAACAGGUAUGUCUUACUUAGAUUGCAACAAAAUGUCAGCAAAUAGAUUAAAUGCCGAUAAAGAUCAGGCUGCCUCUUUAAGGCACUGAAGGCUCAAGCCUGGGAUUUCAGGGGACUUCGGAACAGACUGUUAACACCCCCCCACCAAUAGCUUGAAGUUGUAGCAGUGUUGCUAAGUGUGAAAAUAGCAUCUCAUUUAGGAGAUGAGAUGGCACAGGGCAGAUUGGUUGUCCUAAUUAGCAUUUCAGGGUUAGGCUUAGAAGCAAAAGGAGAUUUUUUUUAACACAGCAGUCUUCACACUCCUUUGUUUUCCACUUAGUAUUCUGGUGUUAAUAGUUUGUUUUAGUUAAGGUUUGAACACAGGCACAAGUGAACAUGGAGUGUAGUGCACUGGUCCUCAACUUAUUUUUCUUGUAGACUGUUUGAGAAUUCCUGAGGGUCUCAGUGGCCCACUUUGUAAAUGUUUUGAUCAUUUUCAAAUCAUUUUUUUUUGUAAAUUUUUUUAAUUUUUUUUUGCAAAAAUAAUAAAAUAAGGAUACAAAAAUCAAACCACCAUCUAACAUUUAUACUUCUAAUAAAAAAUCCUACUAUUUUACAAACUUUUUUUGAGGUUCUUUAAACCUCAAUACUUCCUUUCUCUCCCUUCUACUGGUUCUUUACAUCUUACACCAUUCUCUGCAUUUUGUUAUCAUUUUUAUCCACUUGUUACACCUUUACAUUCUCUAAUUACUUACUAACAAGUGCUUAAUCUAAACCUGCCAGUGUACCAACUUGUUUGCAGUAUUUCUGUACACAUACACAAUAAAUUUCCCCCAUUCUUUUUUAAGCUUCUCAUUGUCAGAGUCUCUGAGUUUUGCCAUCAGUUUUGCCAUUUCUGCAUAGUCCGUAAGUUUUAUUUGCCAUUCUUCUAUUGUUGAUAACUGUUAUUAUUUCCAUUUUGGGGCUAACAGGAUCUGGGCUGUUGUUGUGGUGUAUAUAAAUAAUUGCUUCUGUUCUUUGGAAAUUACUGUUCCUAUUACACGUAGUAGAAAAGCUUCUGGUUUCUUUGCAAAGGUGAGUUUAAACAUUUUCUUCAAUUCAUUAUAUAUCAUUUCCCAGAAUGGGGAAUGUUUGUUUUACAAAUCAAAACACAUCUGUAACUCAAAUUUUAACAACGUUUCCCCAUUCAAUGCUGGCAUCACCAUCAAAACCAGCACUGUAUUAUGGGAAUCACAGGCCUAGGCCUUGAUUUAUAUCAUCAGAAACAAUAAAUAGAUAAGGGGCAAGGUCAAGUACAGAUAAUCUUAGUUCCAUAACAUUUAUGUGGAUCACCUACCAGAGGAAGAGAUUUGGAAAAGAGAUUCCUUAUUCUCCUGUAGCAGAACUAAGCACAAUGGUGAUUGCACCAAGCCCACUAAAACUUGACUAGAUUUGCAUCUACCACCACCCACCUUUAAGCCAAUGUUCUCCACAAAAAUACUUAAACUAGAAUAAAUCACAGACACUUAGCUUUGCAAAUACGUGAGUGUUUUAUAUACCCGAGUUUCCAGAAGUUGCAUCAAACAAAUCCAUCUGUUGGCAGUAAAAAAACUGUUCCAAACAACUUUAAAAAGAAAGGACAGCCCAAUCUUUGGGUUAGCAAAGAUGCAGGGUAUAAGAUCUCCUUUUAGAGAGAUUCAGUUCACUUGCAGGGAGCCCAUGGCCUCAUAGCUUGUUGCUUGCUCCAGGAAGCACAAAGAGAAAAAACUGAGAGAAAAGGAGGGAGGAAGCAAAAGGCUGCUGGGAGCCUAAGCUGCACCCCCAGUAGCAACCUCAGCUCGGGCUAACUCUUUCAAGCAUGCAAGUGUGAGUCAGAAACUGUAUACUGUAUUACAGCAUACUGGAAUGCGGCUCAUGGGCCACUAAUGUUCCAUAGGCCACAGGUGGAAAAUCUCAGGCAAAGUGGUUGGUGCAGCCUCCCACAACCUCAUGUCCUGCAGAUGUUUUGGACUACAACUCCAAAUAGCUGAUGAAAAUUUUAGUCCAAAACACCCAGAGGACAGCAGGUUGGGGGAAAGCUGGGUUAGAGUGUCAGCUUCAAGGUAAGCUCAAUUACCCACUCAGAUGAGUGGAAUGAGAGUGUUAAGGAGUAAAAAUUCAUUGCAAAACAUUCCAUAAGACUUUGGCCAUAUCAUUUCCUCUCAGCCUAAUCUACCUAACAGGGCUGUUUUGAAAAUAAAGUAGGGUUGGGAGAGAACCUCGUAUUCCGGGGUGUGUGGGGAGAGGGAUCCCUUUUCAGUCUGAAGACCGUAUUGCAUCUGGGCAACCUUCAGAGCGCCCCAUGCUGGUGGUGACUGGGGCCAGAGACAAACACGGGUAAAGCAACAAAGAUGAAUUUUACUUUUGUUCAUUAGGAUAGUUUCUACAAACCCUCUCACACCCCUCUGUGUUCUUCAUCCAGACAACUGAGAGGCAUUGUCAGAGUUCCAGGGCACGUCCUAGCCAGGUGUGGUCUGGGGAAAGUUGCAAAAUGCGACAACCAUAAAACAAAAACCAUCUCCUGCUGAAAUGUUAUGGGUGAUGCUGUGACAACUUGAGAGCACUUCAUUUUAUUGAUGAUUACCUGUUGCCUCCUACUUCCCUGCCCAGCAAUGUGCCUGAAAGGCAGAAGUAGGCAAGAACAUGCUGAUCUGCAAACUGUGUCUUUUUAGAGAGAAUAGAAAAGCACAUUGGAACAUAAGAGUUUGAAACGCUGCACAUAUAUUAUCUCUCCAGUCUCUCCAAUCUCAAGGAGCCAAGGAGUUCCUGGCUCACCACUACAAUUUAAGCCACUUAGCUGCACCAGCUCCCCAGACAUAUUGAUGAAGGCAGAGAGCAUAAGUAAGAUGGCAUAGCCUUCCUUACGAACUGGAGAAUCCACUCAAGAUAGCAAAGGACAUGGCUAAGUGGAAGUUAAGCAGUUAAAUCAUGUUGAUUUCAGCUGGAAAGGAUCAUUUUCCUAUCUAUUGCCUCUAAAUGCCCCAAAUUAGUUUUAGAACCUUCUUCACUUUGCUUUGUGGUAGGACCUGGCCUGCCACACAGUGAAUGGAAUUGGCACAUCUCAUGAGUCUCAAUGAUUUCAGCAGAAGUUAGCUAUGACUCUCUUUUGCUGCACUGUGUCCUGAGGUUAGAUCUUUUCAUUUAUCAUUUAGGUGUUUAUUAUUAUUAUU